UAUACAUUGUCAUGAGCUUCAGGCCAUAUCACGUGGAGUUGUUUCAGUUGAACUUACAGUACCUGUCAAAAGAUUGGACACAACUACUCAUUCAAGGAUUUUUCUUCAUUUUUACUGAUUUCUACAUUGUAGAAUAAUAGUGACGACAUCAAAACUAUGAAUUAACACAUAUGGAAACAUGUGGUAACCAAAAAAACAAAUUAAAAUAGAUUUUAGAUUCCACCCUUUACCUUGAUGACAGCUUUGCACACUCUUGGCACUAUCCCAAACAGUUUCACCUGGAAUAUUUUUACAACAGUCUUGAAGGAGUUCCCACAUAUGCUGAGCACUUGUUAGCUGCUUUUCCUUCACUCUGCCAUCCAACUCAUCCCAAACCAUCUCAAUUGGAUUGAGGUUGGGUGAUUUUGGAGGCCAGGUCAUCUGAUGCAGUACUCCAUUACUCUCCAUUGACCUCUGUGAAGCAUUUAUUUGGGCUGAAUUUCAGAGGAUGGUACCUAAUGAACUUAUCCUCCGCAGCAGAGGUAACGCUGGGUCUUCCUUUCCUGUGGCGGUCCUCAUGAGAGCCAGUUUCAUCAUAGCGCUUGAUGUUUUUUUGCGACAGCACUUGAAGAAACUUUCAAAGUUCUUGAAAUUUACCAGAUUGACUGACCUUCAUGUCUUAAUCAUUUUAGCUGUUCUUGCCAUAAUAUGGACUUGGUCUUUUACCAAAUGGGUCUAUCUUCUGUAUAACACAACUGAUUGGCUCAAACGCAUUAAGAAGGAAAGAUAUUCCACAAAUGUACUUUUAACAAGGCACACCUGUUAAUUGAAAUGCAUUCCAGGUUAGUACCUCAUGAAGCUGGUUGAGAGAAUGCCAAGAGUGUGCAAAGCUGUCAUCGGAGAAAAGGUUGGCUAACACUUUUUUGGUUAUUUCAUAGUUAUUUCGUAGUUUUGAUGUCUUCACUAUUAUUCUACAAUGAAUGAAAAUCACUUGAAUAAGUAGGUGUGUACAAACUUUUCACUGGUACUGUAUGUGUUGAAAAUUCAACAUAGUUUGACGUUUUUUUCAGUAGUCAGCAGCAAUAGUUAAAAAUAGAAAUAGUAAUGAAUUCAAUGUCUGUUCAUCCAGCUACCACAGAUGUAAAUCUGUAGUGUAAGCCUUGAAUGUGGUUUAUGUUGCUAUUAAACAGCCUAGGCUUGGGAUAAGAAUGAAAAAUGGAGUGAGGAGAAAGGGGUGAAAUAAGGAGAAAGAGAAAAAGGGAGAAAGGGAGAAAAGGAACGAGUGAGGGAGCAAGCAUAACAAAGACCAAACUGUCCUCUGUUGGUGUGGAAAAAAUAUGCUGUCGCAAUGUUAGUGAUGACGUUAUGGGCAGCAACUGAUGUAAUGAUGUCAUGUAAUGUCAAUCAGCUCAUUGAUCAUGAUAGGCCUACACAACAUACAUACACCAAAUAAAGAGAUCAGUAGAUUAGUCAAAUUCUUUAUUCUGGUGGUACAGCUUGAGUGAAUUAAAAGCCAGAGAUUGAGAUCACCAGGAUAGAACAAAAUAAAUAACUCUAAUAAAACAUCUGAUCAGCUUUUGUGCAACUUUCAGCACCCAUGGUUCACUUCACACAAAGGUUAACACAACAGACAGAGUGGUUCUGUCAUUGCUGGUGGUUGACUAACAACUGAUAGUGGUCUACUGUUAUAAACUAGCUGCAGGUCCUCUACAGGAAGAAGAUUUAUGAAAUGGAAGAUGGAUAAACAACAUUUCUUCACUCACUGCCACCAGGUACAGAUGUAGAAUCUUCAUUUGAGCCAGUUUGCUAUAGCAGGAAAAUAAUCCUGUAUCAACAGAAAUGUUGAAUUAUUAAGUGGAUCACUGGAGGUUGGUGUGGUAAUGGCUGGAGUAGAAUAGGUGUGGAAUGGUAUCAAAUACAUCAAACAUGGUUUCCAUGUGUUUGAUGCCAUUCCUCCCCUCAGCAGCCUCCACUGAUGUGGAUUAUAAUUCAAAUUUACAUUUUUGAAGGGGUUGAUACAUUUUUUGUUGGGGCAAAUCAAGUCUGACAUUUUAAACUGGAAAUUACAAACUUUAGAAGCCUUUUUCAAACUCAAAUACACUACAAGCUUGCAUUUCCUGCUGUGUAAGAACAUUCUGAGCAACAAAAUUGUGAUCAAAUGAAGAUCCUACAUCUGCAGUAGCAGUACAUGCAGCCUGGUUAACAAGAUAAUUAUAGAAAGACAUCCAGGGGUGGUUUCCAGGACACACAUUACAUUGAGCAUGAUUAAGUCCAUGCCUAGGCUUAGUCUGUGUUCAGGAAACCAGCCCUAGGUAUAUUACACGGUUUACAGUAUUAUAUUGUGGGCUACAUAUAUAUUCCUUUUCUCAAAUCCACUGAAAUACUACAGUAUAUAUUUACAAAUACAUCAUAUUAUUAACAGUCUACUGAUAAAUUAAAGACUAGGCCAAAGUCACUGUACAAGUAUGCUCUCAUCAGAUAACACAUCACAAAACUUUACACAAAGACAAAACAGAAUUUGGGUAUCUACUUUCUAUCUGUUUUGUUUGAUUCCAAACUGAUGAGAAUCCAGUGAGAGCCUGAUUACAGCAAUAUCCACAGUGUAGACCGGUGAUGUAGUCAACACACUAAACCUCGAGUCAGAGUCGAGUCCAAAGUCCCUAGUGUUAAAGUCCUUUAUACUUGAGUCAAGAGUUCCUUGGUAGUGCUAAAAGCUGUGGUCCAACCAUUUAAAAAUCUAAAUUCUGUCACAUUGUUGCACAUUGUAAAGAUAUCUACAUAAUACAGCACUCUAAUAUUUGCUGUUGUAGCUACUUUGUUAAAUCAUGCAACAAAGAGAUUACAAAGAGAAAUCACUACUGAUCGAGUCCGAGUCUUCACUGGUCGAGUCCGAGUCAAGUCAUAAGUCAUGAAAAUCGUGACUCGAGUCCAAGUCAAGUCCAAGUCCUGGGACCUUAUUUAUCAAUAUUGCGGUAGAAAUUAUUAUAAAAUACUACUUACGAAGGGAAUUUAGAAUGUUUAAUAAGCUAAGUGUAUGUCGCACGUCACUAAUUCACAGGGGAGGCAUUUUAACAAAAACAUUUUUUAUCAAAAUGUGUUUUUUGGCAGAAAUGCCUUCUGGAAUAUGUGAACUAGCCUAGCUACAAAGCAAACGGAAAAGACAUGCUGCCGUGAAAUGUUUAUCCAUGUACACGGGUAAGAGUCUAGCUACAUUUUCAGAUAUUAUACAUUUCUAAUUUUGUCAGAAAGUCAUUUUCAUUGCAAGUUAAAGUGUACUGUUAGUUAGCUGGAUCACUAGCUAACAUAACGUGUAUGAUCUGUGUGGUAAUAUUAUUAGGAUCCUAGAAAUCCAUUUGCAUUGCUAGUUGUAGCCCAAUGUUAGCUAACUAGCUUUGAACCUAGUUUGUUUGCUUUAGCUACCUGCAUAUUCAUACUCUAGAAUUGUAUGCAUAGUGACAAGCUAUGACAACCCAUUUGUACUGUAGCUAUGGGUUGGGAAUAUAGUUUAUUGUUUAGCCAGGUAGCUACACGUCUAAACAAGACUCCCCUUAGCAAGAGAAUGAUUACUUGACCCAUCAAGCUAGCCAGGUGUGUCUGAGGUUGAUUAUGGCCAUUUAUUGUAUUUCAGGAACAUGUGUACAUGUAUAGACAAUAGUGACCCAUACACAUAACUAGAUGUGGUUGGGGGUGGUUGUAGCAUUUCUUUCACAUGACCCAUCAAUGUAGACAAGUGUCUGGGUAAGCAUCAUCUAAUUAUAAAUUAUUUUUAUCUGGACACUUUCAAAAUCAGAUUAGGGUAUAGGCCAAAGAGUAGAUAAAGUGGAAAUUGUAAAGAGAUGGGUGGGGCUAAGACUUAAGAGGGUGUGAAUGAUGCGGAAUAGGUGUAGACAAAGAGCUCUCCAGUAGGUCUACCAUGUAUCAAAACAUCCAAGGGCCCUUUCCUCAAAAGUGGGGUUACAAGUUUAUAAACUUUCAAAGCAGUAUUACUUUCCCAUUGUUCCUCAACUGCAGUGUAUGGCUGAUAUACCCUUUAGUAGCUCUGAGUCUCUACUUUAUUCCAAUUUAAAAGUAUUUUAUUUUUAUUUUUAUGUUGCUACUAGAACCGAAUCAAGCCGGUGGUUCACAUACGGUCAAAAUAAUCUCUUUAAAGCCUGUGGGGAAUACACUAAGCCAUACCAUGACAUAUAACCUACAACAGGCAAACAAAAAAAGCUACGAAAAAAAUAUCAUUUUCCGAGACUGAAAUAGAGGUGCCUAGUGUCAGAGAUUGAGUACAAUCAAAAUGUUUUACUUUGCUCACUCAGUUGUGGUUACCUGUACAAAUUAAAACAUAGCUAAAAAGAGAGGACCAUUAGGACAAUUCAAGUCACUUUAGCAAUGGCAAAUAUACUUCAAAUUAGUAGCUAGACAACUCACUAAUAUGCCAUCCAUCCUUAACAGCACCCUCCUGUAGGCAUAUACAGUGCCUUGCAAAUGUAUUCAUCCCCUUUGGCAUUUUUCCUAUUUUGUUGCAUUACAACCUGCAAUUUAAAUGGAUAUUUAUUUGGAUUUAAUGUCAUGGACAUAAACAAAAUAGUUCAAAUAGGUGAAUAGAAAUUGAAAAAAUUACUUGUUUAAAAAAAUUCAACAACAACAAAAAAUAUGGAAAAGUGGUGCGUGCCAAAGUUGUGGAGACAAAGUUGUGGAGACAAAGUUGUGGAGACAAAGUUGUGGAGACAAAGUUGUGGAGACAAAGUUGUGGAGACAAAGUUGUGGAGAACAAAGUUGUGGAGACAAAGUUGUGGAGACAAAGUUGUGGAGAACAAAGUUGUGGAGACAAAGUUGUGGAGAACAAAGUUGUGGAGACAAAGUUGUGGAGACAAAGUUGUGGAGAACAAAGUUGUGGAGACAAAGUUGUGGAGACAAAGUUGUGGAGAACAAAGUUGUGGAGACAAAGUUGUGGAGACAAAGUUGUGGAGAACAAAGUUGUGGAGACAAAGUUGUGGAGAACAAAGUUGUGGAGAAGUACAGAUCAGGGUUGGGUUAUAAAAAAACAUCAGAAACUUUGAACAUCCCAUGGAGCACCAUUAAAUCCUUUAUAAAAAAAUGGAAAGAAUAUGGCACCACAACAAACCUGCCAAGAGAGUGCCGCCCACCAAAAAAUACAGACCAGGCAAGGAGGGCAUUAAUCAGAGGCAACAAAGAGACAAAGAGAAAAAGAUAACUCUGAAGGAGCUGCAAAGCUCCACAGUGGAGAUUGGAGUAUCUGUCCAUAGGACCACUUUAAGCCGUACACUCCACAGAGCUGGGCUUUACAGAAGAGUAGCCAGAAAAGAAGCCAUUGCUUAACGAAAAACUAGCAAACGCGUUUGGUGUUCGCCAAAAGGUAUGUGGGAGACUCCCCAAAUAUAUGGAAGAAGGUACUCUGGACAGAUGAGACUAAAAUUGAGCUUUUUGGCCAUCAAGGAAAACGCUAUUUCUGGCGCAAACCCAACACCUCUCAUCACCCUGAGAACACCAUCCAUGAAAAAUAUCCACACAGCAUGAUGCUGCCACCACCACGCUUCACUAUGGAGAUAUUUUUCAUCGUCAGGGACUGGGAAACUGGUCAGAAUUGAAGGAAUGAUGGAUGGCACUAAAUACUGGGAAAUUCUUGAGGUAAACCUGUUUCAGUCUUCCAGAGAUUUGAGACUGGGACAGAGGUUCACCUUCCAGCAGGACAAUGACCCUAAGCAUACGACUAAAGUAACACUCAAAUGGUUUAAGGGGAAACAUUUACAUGUCUUGGAAUGGCCUAGCCAAAGCCCAGACCUCAAUCCAAUUGAGAAUCUGUGGUAUGACUUAAAGAUUUAUGUACACCAGCAGAACCCAUCCAACUUGAAGGAGCUGGAGCAGUUAUGCCUUGAAGAAUGGGCAAAAAUCCCAGUGGCUAGAUGUGCCAAGCUUGUAGAGACAUACCCCAAGAGACUUGCAGCUGUAAUUGCUGCAAAAGGUGGUUCUACAAAGUAUUGACUUUGGGGGGAUGAAUAGUUAUGCAUGCUCAAGUUCUGUUUGUUUCACAAUAAAAAAAUAUUUUGCAUCUUCAAAGUGGUAGGCAUGUUGUGUAAAUCAAAUGAUACCAACCCCUAAAAAAAUCUAUUUUAAAUCUAGGUUGUAAGGCAACACAAUAGGAAAAAUGCCAAAGGGGGUGAAUACUUUCGCAAGCAACUGUGCCGUCGCUGUUCUGCAGAAUGAACGAGUUGUGCUUUCCACAUGGCCACCACAUUCAACAAUCACCUGCAGAUGAGUGGAAGCCUUUUCUGUUCACAUGCUGGCUGAGGCUGCAUAGUUUAACUCAUUUUGGGAUGGUUCUAUUAUGGCGAUGUGGGGGCCAUCCAUUACUCCGUUCAUAUUUGGGAACGCUGAUGGCAAAGAAACCCCUAUUGACUUCAACUUGUUGUGCGAUGGUGUAUGGACAUUUUAUGUAACUGGUCGUUUUGCUGAUGACUGCAUCCAAAACCUAGGCUCAUCAAGGGCUGUGAGAUGCCGAUCGGCAAGCUCACACUGAAAAGUUCCCGUUGGCAAAAACCAGAGGGUGGAUAGCACUUGCAUGUGCACCGGAAUAGCAUGUGUGUGUGCCUUUCUAAAGCAGGUCUUAAAUAAAAAUCCAAUAAGAUUGGUUUUGGGAAAAGAUAUCUGAUGAGCCAAUCUGUACUUUCUGCAAAAAGUCCCACCGAUCUCUAAAAAUGCACUCUCUGCAAAAUGCAGCGUGUGCCGAAAGAGCAAGCUCAGCUAACUCUCGUUUGAUUUCCCAUCUGUCUUUUAUAGUAUUUCACCUGCACCUGACUGUAGCCUACUUUAUAUGAAUUAUUAUCAUAAACAGAUGCUCUGACAUGGUCCAAUUAUACAGUACCAGUCAAAAGUUUGGACACACCUACUCAUUCAAGGGUUUUUCUUUAUUUUGACUAUUUUCUACAUUGUUCAAUAAGAGUGAAGACAUCAAAACUAUGAAAUAACACAUAUGGAAUCACAUAGCAACCCAAAGUGUUAAACAAAUCAAAAACAUUUUAUAUUCUCCAAAGUAGCCACCCUUUGCACUGAUGACAGCUUUGCACACACUUGGCAUUCUCUCAACCAGCAUCACGAGGAAUGCUUUUCCAACAGUCUUGAAGGAGUUUCCACAUAUGCUGAGCACUUGUUGGCUGCUUUUUCUUCACUCUGCUGUCCAACUCAUCCCAAACCAUCUCAAUUUGUUUGAGGUUAGUGAUCGUGGAGGCCAGGUCAUCUGAUGCAGCACUCCAUCACUCUCCUUGAUCUAAUUUUUUUACCUUUAUUUUACUAGGCAAGUCAGUUAAGAACAAAUUCUUAUUUUCAAUGACGGCCUAGUGGGUUAACUGCCUGUUCAGGGUGUGUUUGGGUCAUUGUCCUGUUGAAAAACAAAUGAUAGUCCCACUAAGUCCAAACCAGAUGGGAUGGCGUAUCAUUGCAGAAUGUGGUAUCCAUAUUGGUUCAAAAAAAUCAGUGUAACCAGCAAAGCACCCCCUCACCACCUCCCACUGCUUCACAGUGGGAACCACACACGUGGAGAUCAUCUGUUCACCUACUCUGUGUCUCACAAAGACACAGCGGUUGGAAGCAAACAUCUGACAUUUGGACUCAUCAGACCAAAGGACAGAUUUCUACCGGGCUAAUGUGCAUUGCUCGUGUUUCUUGGCCCAAGCAAGUCUCUUCUUCAUAUUGGGGUCAUUUAGUAGUGAUUUCUUUGCAGCAAUUUGACCAUGGUGACCUGAUUCACGCACGUUUCCUCUGAACAGUUGAUGUUGAGAUGUGUCUGUUACUUGAGCUCUGUGAAGCAUUGAUUUGGGCUGCAAUCUGAGUUGCAGUUAACUCUAAUGAACUUGUCCUUGUCUCUCCUGCAGAGGUAACUGCAGCAGAGGUCUUCCUUUCCUGUGGUGGUCCUCAUGAAAUCCAGUUUCAUCAUAGUGCUUGAUGGUUUUUCCGUAUUGACAGAUUUUCCGUAUUGACAGAUUUUCCGUAUUGACAGAUUUUUCAUAUUGACAGAUGUUCCGUAUUGACAGAUUUUCUUAAAGUAAUGAGAGGCUGUUUCCCUUUGUUAUUUGAGCUGUUCUUGCCCUAAUAUGUACUUGGUCUUUUACCAAAUAGGGCUAUCUUCUGUAUACCACCCCUACCUUGUCACAACACAACAGACUGUCUCAAACGCAUUAAGGAAAGAAAUUACACAAAUUAACAAGGCCCACCCGUUAAUUGAAAUUCAUUCCAGGUCACUACCUCAUGAAGCUGGUUGAGAGAAUGCCAAGAGUGUGCAAAGCUGUCAUCAGUGCAAAGGGUGGCUACCUUGAAGAAUAUAACAUGUAUUUUGAUUUGUUUAACACUUUUUUGCUUACUACAUGAUUCCAUGUGUUAUUUCAUAGUUCUGAUGUCUUUACUGUUAUUCUACAAUGUAGAAAAUUAUACAAAUAAAGAUUCACAAUGGAAUACAAUUAAAUCAAAGAAUGAUUUAAUUAUUACUCAACACACAAUUUCACACAUUUUCAACAUACAGAAUAUUAUCCCCAUUCUAUGCUUGACAAGCAGUUCCCUUAUUCCGCCACUUUGCACUGUGCCUAUGCAUUGUUAUGGCUGUGCAUAAAUGUAUGCACACUCUCAAGCAAAGUUCAUAGUGAUAAAUCUCACACUUUGCAUGGAAAUCAUCCCACACAUUGUUUACCCACAGAUUUGAUCAAAUGAGGCCCCCGGACUCUAGUACUACAACACUGGUAUAGCCUCCAUGUGCAGUCUUAAGGCGCUGUGGUUAUCCCUGAUUUAAGGCUAGCGCAUACCUUAUAGCUUAUCCUAGCUUUGGUCCUCUCUACAGUAGAGCCACAAGACAGACCUCUAGGCUAUUCCAUACAGUAAAAAACAAUACUGUACCUCCAAACCAGUGGAGGCUGCUGAGGGGAGGACUGCUCAUAAUAAUGACUGGAACAGAGCGAAUAGAAUCAAACACAUGGAAACCAUGCUUGAUGUAUUUGAUACCAUUCUGCUCCAGCCAUUACCAAGAGGCCGUCCUCCCCAAGCAAGGUGCCAACUGUGCUCCAAACACAUCUGAGACCUAGGACCAUGAUCAACCAGAACUGGUUUAAAGAGUUACAGGGUACAUAAAACAAGGAUUAUUAUGUUUAAACAGUCUCUCCCAGGACACAGUAGUCACAGUUCUACAUUAGCUACAUACAUAUAAAAAAUGGUCAAAGACUCCAGCCACCCUAGUCAUAGACUGUUCUCUCUGCUACCACACGGCAAGCGGUACCGGAGCGCCAAGUCUAGGUCCAAGAGGCUUCUAAACAGCUUCUACCCCCAAGCCAGAAGACUCCUGAACAUCUAGUCAAAUGGCAACCCAGACUAUUUGCAUUCCCCCCUCCACACAACUGCCACUCUCUGUUGUCAUCUAUGCAUAGUCACUUUAAUUAACUCUACCUACAUGUACACACUACCUCAACUAACCGGUGCUCCCGCACAUUGACUCUGUAUCGACACCCCCCUGUAUAUAUUGUUAUUUUUAAUGCUGCUCUUUAACUACUUGUUACUUGUAUCUCUUAUGCGUACUUUUUGAAACUGUACUGUUGGUUAGGGGCUCAUAUGUAAGCAUUUCACUGUAAGGUCUAACUACACCUGUUGUAUUUGGCGCAUGUGACUAAUACAAUUUUAUUUGAUUUAUACAGCCCGAUGGCUCUGUGCCAUAACCCAAUACAUCUGACCAUUGAAGCUUAGUCCCUAGUCCCUGUGGUUUAUGUCAUAACAUCAAUUAAGUCAUAGGUCAGAGGUGACUCUUUGGUCUCUCAAAAGCAUCUUACACAACACAGAGAAAGAGUAGGUAGAGGUAGACAAGAGGAGAGGAGUCCACGGGUCUUCCCUUGUAUAGCCAAAGGUUAUCUAAUGGUUUAACUGAGUAGUAGCUAUGGUUAGGUCAGAUGUGGUAACUUGGGUGGAGGUUGAGUAGUGGUUGUAGGUAGGUCAGAUGUGGUAACUUGGGUGGAGGUUGAGUAAUGGUUGUAGGUAGGUCAGAUGUGGUAACUUGGGUGGAGGUUGAGUAAUGGUUGUAGGUAGGUCAGAUGUGGUAACUUGGGUGGAGGUUGAGUAAUGGUUGUAGGUAGGUCAGAUGUGGUAACUUGGGUGGAGGUUGGGUAAUGGUUGUAGGUAGGUCAGAUGUGGUAACUUGGGUGGAGGUUGAGUAAUGGUUGUAGGUAGGUCAGAUGUGGUAACUUGGGUGGAGGUUGAGUAAUGGUUGUAGGUAGGUCAGAUGUGGUAACUUGGGUGGAGGUUGGGUAAUGGUUGUAGGUAGGUCAGAUGUGGUAACUUGGGUGGAGGUUGAGUAGUGGUUGUAGGUAGGUCAGAUGUGGUAACUUGGGUGGAGGUUGAGUAAUGGUUGUAGGUAGGUCAGAUGUGGUAACUUGGGUGGAGGUUGAGUAAUGGUUGUAGGUAGGUCAGAUGUGGUAACUUGGGUGGAGGUUGGGUAAUGGUUGUAGGUAGGUCAGAUGUGGUAACUUGGGUGGAGGUUGAGUAAUGGUUGUAGGUAGGUCAGAUGUGGUAACUUGGGUGGAGGUUGAGUAGUGGUUGUAGGUAGGUCAGAUGUGGUAACUUGGGUGGAGGUUGAGUAGUGGUUGUAGGUAGGUCACAUGUAUCCAUUGUGCCUGGUGG